CCUCCCAAAAUUCCCUGAAAUCCAAUUUCACUUCUUCCCCGAAGAGUCGAAACCCUUCCCCCGCCUUCUCCAUCUCUCAUGACCCUCCCUCUCCAAGAUUCCUCGUCACCAAGAGAUCCCUCAUAGAAGAUGACAACAAAGCAAACUCGAGCAGAAACGAAUCUCCAGAUCUAAAUGAUGAUUCUCCGAAUCUCUAGAUCUGAACAGCAAAGCGCGAUUCAACCUCGAGCACUGGCAAAUACGAAUGGCCGAGUGACUCGCGGACAACAUACGGCGGCAGAUCUGAAUGGUGGGUCUGAAUGGCGACGGCAGUGGAGCUAAUGGAUGAAUGAUGAUUUGCUGGGAUGAAGGUUGUUUCGAAUCUUCAAAAAAGAGAAGGGAACCAUGUUGCAAAAUUUAGUGUUAAAAUCUUCCAAAGCAGAGGAGAAGAAGGCUCCAAAAUCACUCUGCCUCUCACUAUUCUGCCCUAGUAAUUGUCUUUUGUCUAAGACGUGUCAAUGAGUGGACCAUGUCUUUUGCUUUUUUCAUGCCUUUUGGGGCACCUCCCCCUCUUUUGUGUUGAUUGGAAGAGGCUUUUCUUUUGAGAGAGGAGACCUCGUGUGUUUUAACUUUUAAUCAGUGGUACAACUCUAAGAGCCAUUUCAAUGAUUGGCUUAUUGCUUUCUUGCUUAUUAACUAGUAGUAAUGAAAAUGGAAAAAAAAAUAAUAAAGUAGUUGUUGCUAUGAUCUCUAAGGGGAAAAAUGUCCAUACCAUAAUUGGGGUCCUUGAUCAAAUGUUGACAUUGAUAUUGGGGCUUCAGGCAGCAUAUCAGUUUGGUGAUUAGUGUUUAAAAUAGAACAAAGGACUACUAAUCUUUCUCUGCUAUAUUUUGUGCAUAAUUUAGCACUUUACAAGUAGAUGUUGGACAAGAUGUCAUGUUGAACUCCUUCAAAUUUAGGUAAGAAGGUUUUGACUAGUUAGACUGAUCAAGUAUGGUUUUCCCAAAUGCUUAAAUUAAAUAAGAUUACUGCUUAUUUAAUAUUGCAAAUGAACUAAGAAAAGAGGCUGAAUUGCGACACUUGCUUUUUGCUAUUCUUAAACUAGACCAUUUAAACUAAUUAAUUACCCAUUAUUGAUUGUAUAUGUUUCAAUGGGUUAGUGACCUCUUAUUAAUUGGUGAAGAGAUUGGACUUCCACAAGAAUAUUUCUUGGGAUUAAUCAAACUCAUCAAGAUAUAAUUUUAAUAAUACUAUCUCUUUGCUGAAGUGGUUUGACUUCUACCAGAGUAUUUAUUGGGAUUACCUAAUGAGCUGCAAUCAAGCAAUGGAGGAAGUGAAAAAUGAAAAAUGAAGCUCUUUUAAACAUUUUGCUUUGCUUUGCCUUUAAACACGACAGAUUGAAAAAUGAAGUUCUACUUUGACACAUUUUGUUUUAACUGUAAAUACAGAAACCUUGCUUUGCCUUUUAUUAGCUAUGUUUGUUGGUAAUAUUAAAGAUGGAUGGGAGAGUAGGUGGAUUCAAUCUGACAGGAAGAAAGACGAAAGUUUAGCAAGAGAAUGGAACUACACCUCUGGAAAAUGGCACGAAGAUCCUAAUGAUAAAGGUAUGCAAACAAGCAAAGAUUACAUAUUCUAUGCUAUCUAAGUCGAGUUCCCUAAAUUCGUA